ACGGCUCAGUAACACGUGGCCAAACUACCCUCUGGAGCGCGACAACCUCGGGAAACUGAGGCUAAUCGUGCAUACCGCUCUCACGCUGGAAGUUGCGGAGAGCUCGAAACGCUCCGGCGCCAGAGGAUGUGGCUGCGGCCGAUUAGGUAGACGGUGGGGUAACGGCCCACCGUGCCAGUAAUCGGUACGGGUUGUGAGAGCAAGAGCCCGGAGACGGUAUCUGAGACAAGAUACCGGGCCCUACGGGGCGCAGCAGGCGCGAAACCUUUACACUGCACGCCAGUGCGAUAAGGGGACUCCAAGUGCGAGGGCAUAGAGCCCUCGCUUUUCUGUACCGUAAGGUGGUACAAGAAUAAGUGCUGGGCAAGACCGGUGCCAGCCGCCGCGGUAAUACCGGCAGCACGAGUGAUGGCCGCUCUUAUUGGGCCUAAAGCGUCCGUAGCUGGCCGCGCAAGUCCAUCGGGAAAUCCGCACGCCUAACGUGCGGGCGUCCGGUGGAAACUGCGUGGCUUGGGACCGGAAGAUCCAGAGGGUACGUCCGGGGUAGGAGUGAAAUCCUGUAAUCCUGGACGGACCACCGGUGGCGAAAGCGCUCUGGAAAGACGGAUCCGACGGUGAGGGACGAAAGCUCGGGUCACGAACCGGAUUAGAUACCCGGGUAGUCCGAGCUGUAAACGAUGUCUGCUAGGUGUGCCACAGGCUACGAGCCUGUGGUGUGCCGUAGGGAAGCCGUGAAGCAGACCGCCUGGGAAGUACGUCCGCAAGGAUGAAACUUAAAGGAAUUGGCGGGGGAGCACAAUCGA
rnacentral:rRNA from 1 species